rnacentral:rRNA from 1 species
AUUGAACGCUGGCGGCAUGCCUUACACAUGCAAGUCGAACGGCAGCACGGGAGCAAUCCUGGUGGCGAGUGGCGAACGGGUGAGUAAUAUAUCGGAACGUGCCCAGUCGUGGGGGAUAACGCAGCGAAAGCUGUGCUAAUACCGCAUACGAUCCAUGGAUGAAAGCGGGGGAUCGCAAGACCUCGCGCGAUUGGAGCGGCCGAUAACAGAUUAGCUAGUUGGGGGGGUAAAAGCCCACCAAGGCGACGAUCUGUAGCUGGUCGGAGAGGACGACCAGCCACACUGGAACUGAGACACGGUCCAGACUCCUACGGGAGGCAGCAGUGGGGAAUUUUGGACAAUGGGCGCAAGCCUGAUCCAGCAAUGCCGCGUGCAGGAUGAAGGCCUUCGGGUUGUAAACUGCUUUUGUACGGAACGAAACGGCGAGCUCUAAUAAAGUUUGCUAAUGACGGUACCGUAAGAAUAAGCACCGGCUAACUACGUGCCAGCCGCCGCAGUAA